UACGUAGGGCGCAAGCGUUAUCCGGAAUUAUUUGGGCGUAAAGAGCUCGUAGGCGGUUUUGUCGCGUCUGCCGUGAAAGUCCGGGGCUCAACUCCGGAUCUGCGGUGGGUACGGGCAGACUAGAGUGAUGUAGGGGAGACUGGAAUUCCUGGUGUAGCGGUGAAAUGCGCAGAUAUCAGGAAGAACACCCGUGGCUAAGGCGGCUCUCUAGUACGGUACUGACGCUGAGACGCGAAAGCGUGGGGGAGCGAACAGG
rnacentral:rRNA from 1 species